GUGCACGCUGGCGGUCGGCCUAACCCAUGCAAGUCGCACGGCAGCACAGUAAGAGCUUGCUCUUACGGGUGGCGAGUGGCGGACGGGUGAGGAAUACAUCGGAAUCUACUUUUUCGUGGGGGAUAACGUAGGGAAACUUACGCUAAUACCGCAUACGACCUACGGGUGAAAGCAGGGGAUCUUCGGACCUUGCGCGAUUGAAUGAGCCGAUGUCGGAUUAGCUAGUUGGCGGGGUAAAGGCCCACCAAGGCGACGAUCCGUAGCUGGUCUGAGAGGAUGAUCAGCCACACUGGAACUGAGACACGGUCCAGACUCCUACGGGAGGCAGCAGUGGGGAAUAUUGGACAAUGGGCGCAAGCCUGAUCCAGCCAUACCGCGUGGGUGAAGAAGGCCUUCGGGUUGUAAAGCCCUUUUGUUGGGAAAGAAAAGCAGCAGGUUAAUACCCCGCUGUUCUGACGGUACCCAAAGAAUAAGCACCGGCUAACUUCGUG
rnacentral:rRNA from 1 species